rnacentral:rRNA from 1 species
GAGGAAUAUUGGUCAAUGGACGAAAGUCUGAACCAGCCAUGCCGCGUGCAGGAAGACUGCCCUACGGGUUGUAAACUGCUUUUAUGUGGGAAUAAACCCCUGGAUUCUUCCGGGGCUGAAGGUACCACACGAAUAAGGAUCGGCUAACUCCGUGCCAGCAGCCGCGGUAAUACGGAGGAUCCAAGCGUUAUCCGGAUUUAUUGGGUUUAAAGGGUCCGUAGGCGGGACAUUAAGUCAGUGGUGAAAGCCUUCAGCUUAACUGGAGAAUUGCCAUUGAUACUGAUGUUCUUGAGUACACCUGAAGUGGGCGGAAUGUGUCAUGUAGCGGUGAAAUGCAUAGAUAUGACACAGAACACCGAUUGCGAAGGCAGCUCACUAAAGUGUAACUGACGCUGAGGGACGAAAGCGUGGGGAGCGAACAGG